AUAUUAGACUUGUUUUUUAAUGUGUAUGAGAAUUUUGAAUGAUCAAUCGAAUGGUGAAAAAGAGAGAUAUUGGCUUUGAGAGAUUGGCAUGAAGGUCGAAGAAGGAGGCCGGCGAAUAUCCAAGUACAUUUUUGAGGUUAUCGUCUACUUUUUAAUUACGAUCCUUUUCAAUUUUUUUGUAUUUUUUUUCAACUUAGUUUUUAAGAAUUUUACAAAUUUUGAGUCAAGAUCAACGGUUCAUUCAUUAGUUAUUGAGGUUUAAAUCUAUUAUAGGAAUUACUAGGAUUUACUUAAGAUUUGAUUUAGGAUUUAGGAUUUGGUUUAGAAUUCAAGAUUUAAUUAGGAUUUGAUUUAGGAUUUAGAAUUUGAUUAGAAUUUCAUUUAGGAUUAGAAAUUAAUUAGGAUUUUAUUUAAGAUUAGGAUUUGAUUUAGAAUUUAGGAUUUGAUUUAAGAUUAGGAUUUCAUUUAAAAUUUAGGAUUUGAUUUAGAAUUUAGGAUUUGAUUUAGGAUUUAGGAUUUGAUUAGGAUUUGAUUUACGGUUUGAUUAGGAUUUGAUUUAGAAUUUAGGAUUUUAUUAGGAUUUGUUUAGGAUUUAAGAAUUAGUUUUUUUUGGCCUAAAGUUUGUAUGAAGUCCAAUAGGAUUUUAAUUAGGAUUAAAUUAAGAUUGGAUUGAGAUAUAUUUGAGAUAUAUUUGUGAUCAUUUA
rnacentral:lncRNA from 1 species